rnacentral:rRNA from 1 species
CACGUAGGGGGCGAGCGUUGUCCGGAUUUAUUGGGCGUAAAGAGCUCGUAGGCGGCUCAGUAAGUCAGGUGUGAAAACUCCAGGCUCAACCUGGAGACGCCACCUGAUACUGCUGUGGCUAGAGUCCGGUAGGGGAGCAUGGAAUUCCUGGUGUAGCGGUGAAAUGCGCAGAUAUCAGGAGGAACACCAGUGGCGAAGGCGGUGCUCUGGGCCGGAACUGACGCUGAGGAGCGAAAGCGUGGGGAGCGAUUCGG